rnacentral:snRNA from 1 species
AACUUUGCGCAGUGGCAGUAUCAUAACCAAUGAAGUUAAUCUGAGGUGUGAUUAUUGCUAGUUGAAAACUUUUCCUCUGAUUA